rnacentral:rRNA from 1 species
AGAGUUUGAUCAUGGCUCAGGAUGAACGCUAGCGGCAGGCUUAACACAUGCAAGUCGAGGGGUAUAGGUUUUCGGACCUAGAGACCGGCGCACGGGUGCGUAACGCGUAUGCAAUCUACCUUUUACAGAGGGAUAGCCCAGAGAAAUUUGGAUUAAUACCUCAUAGUAUUAUUUAAUGGCAUCAUUUAAUAAUUAAAGUUCCAACGGUAAAAGAUGAGCAUGCGUCCCAUUAGCUAGAUGGUAAGGUAACGGCUUACCAUGGCAACGAUGGGUAGGGGUCCUGAGAGGGAGAUCCCCCACACUGGUACUGAGACACGGACCAGACUCCUACGGGAGGCAGCAGUGAGGAAUAUUGGUCAAUGGGCGCAAGCCUGAACCAGCCAUGCCGCGUGCAGGAUGACGGUCCUAUGGAUUGUAAACUGCUUUUGUACAGGAAGAAACAGUUCUACGUGUAGAACCUUGACGGUACUGUAAGAAUAAGGAUCGGCUAACUCCGUGCCAGCAGCCGCGGUAAUACGGAGGAUCCAAGCGUUAUCCGGAAUCAUUGGGUUUAAAGGGUCCGUAGGCGGUUUUGUAAGUCAGUGGUGAAAGCCCAUCGCUCAACGGUGGAACGGCCAUUGAUACUGCAAGACUUGAAUUACUAGGAAGUAACUAGAAUAUGUAGUGUAGCGGUGAAAUGCUUAGAUAUUACAUGGAAUACCAAUUGCGAAGGCAGGUUACUACUAGUGGAUUGACGCUGAUGGACGAAAGCGUGGGGAGCGAACAGGAUUAGAUACCCUAGUAGUCC